GACGAACCGAGCGAACGUUGUUCGGAAUCACUGGGCUUAAAGGGCGCGUAGCGGGCUGUCAAGUCUGGGGUGAAAUCCCGCGGCUCAACCGUGGAACUGCCUUAGAUACUGACGGCCUCGAGGGAGAUAGAGGAAAGCGGAACUGAUGGUGGAGCGGUGAAAUGCGUUGAUAUCAUCAGGAACACCGGUGGCGAAGGCGGCUUCUGG
rnacentral:rRNA from 1 species